AAGAAGGGAUUCUCCAAAGGUUGAAAGUUUAGAAAACGCAUGCAAGACGUUGUUGACGGUAUCAUGCAUCGCGCAAAGAAAUCAUUGGCUAACAAUUUGAAGCGUGUGUAUUGCGUUACACGAGAUGGAAUCGAGCGAAACAGGGCACUCCGAUUCGAAUCUGAUCUCAGAAGCGAUUUCAAAGUCAGGAAAUCGUAUUACCAGUGCCGCGUGACUGGAAUUUUCAAUAGUUUUCAAUCUGUCCGAAGUAAAUAUAAAACGAACGCCACGGGAGUUAAAUCGACGUCGGGGGAGGAGAAUGGAUGAACGAGACGCAUCUCGGUCGCAGUGAAUCGCGCCAAGAAGCUCUGGAAUGCCAGCUGGAAUGUAUGUAUGUAGGUACAUACGUAUAUAUGUUAUGUACGUUAGUGUAUUAGCUGCGUGCAACCUGUUGGAUAAAAAGUAAAAGAGAGAAGAAGAAUCAUUCGUCGGAGUAUUAAAGCUACUUUAAGCUACUUUAGUGAAAUUCCAAAAUAUUGAAAGAUCAGUCAUCACGUAGAUGAUAGAUAGGUAUAUAAACAGAAAUAUCCUGCUUGAAUGAUUAAUGACAGUACACGAAGUACAUUAUAAUCAUUCUGAUAUUAACAACUGUGAAUUAUUGUUCACAAUUCUAACAAUAAAUCAUCAGAAGUAUGCCCUUGAAUUUUUAUUGUCUUCUAAUUGAUAUCAAUUACUUGCAACUUAUAGUAAGCUGUUAUAACCUGUAAUAAGUAUACUUGAGUUAGAAGUACAUUAUACAAUUAGAAGUACUUAUUUGAGUACAUAUUUCUAUUGUCUUCUAAAAUGUAUCAAUGACUAGUAGAAAUUGAUUGACCAAUGGUCUAAGUGGAAAAUUAGGGGAAAUGAGUAUAUUGUAUAUACGUACAGAAAUAAAAUUCAAAUAUAAGCUUUGAUUGACCAAUGGCCUAAAUGGAUGUGAUAAUACAAAUUAUUAUUGGACAUUGGAUUAAUUGUGGAAUUUGUGGAUUAGUCUAUUUUUUCAUCGACAGAGUUUAUGGAUCGGUGCAUCUUUCGUCAACAGUAUUUCAUUUGGAACAUUUAAUUCGCAUUAAUACGAAUUAUUUUAUAAGAUACGAACGUU